UACGUAGGUGGCAAGCGUUGUCCGGAAUUACUGGGUGUAAAGGGCGUGUAGGCGGGACUGCCAGUCAGAUGUGAAAUUCCCAGGCUCAACCUGGGGGCUGCAUCUGAAACUGUGGUUCUUGAGUGCUGGAGAGGAAAGCGGAAUUCCUAGUGUAGCGGUGAAAUGCGUAGAUAUUAGGAGGAACACCAGUGGCGAAGGCGGCUUUCUGGACCGUAACUGACGCUGCGGCGCGAAAGCGUGGGGAGCAAACAGG
rnacentral:rRNA from 1 species